AUGGCCUCCCAACUAGGCUCACCGUCGCCGUGGAUGGCGCCGGCGAAGUAUGAUCCAGCGGCCACCACCAUCGCUGACAUCAGCGACGACCUCCUCCGCGAGAUCCUCCUCCGCGUCCCCUCCCUCCCAAGCCUCGUCCGUGCCACCCUCGCCUGCCGCGCCUUCCUCCGCGCCGCAAAAACCUCCCCCGACUUCCGAUAUCGGUUCAUGGCGCUCCACCCGCCCCAGGUCCUGGGAGUCUUCGAAGACUCGUUCUGGCAGAGAGGCACCCCUGCCUUCGUCCCCUUCGGAAGCCGCUCCGACCCGGACGCCGCCGCCGCCGUCAGCGGCGCCGAUUUCCUCCUCACCCGCCUCCCGGAAAGCAGCGGCGGCGACCCCGGGUGGGAGAUCAACACCUGCCGCGGCGGCUACCUUGUCCUCCACAACCAGAAAACCAGGCAGCUGGCCACCUACAACCCCCUCACGCAGGCGCUGGACGUCUUCCCCUACCCGGCCCAGGAGGCCAACUGCCAUCCCCGCUACCUUGCGUGCCACAUCAUCUUCUUCAAGGAUGACCCGAUAUACUUCGGUGUGGUCUGUGUGCGCCGCCGCCGGCGCCGGCUCCGGACGCUGGCUCGCUUCUCUCUCUUCUCAUCGGACAGCAGCUGCAGGGAGUGGCAGAGCAUCCCUUGGGUGGACACCUCGACGGGGCAGCUCCCGUCUUGCCCCGACACGCAGAUGAUGGAUGGAUUUGCCUACUGGAAACACAUUGAUCAACCCUAUAUAGUCGUGCUCGACAACUCGACGCUGGAAUUCUCUCGACUGGAUUUGCCGCCGGGCAUGGAAGACAUGCAAUGUGCAGAAUUCCUACUUGGCCAGACCGACGAUGGGUAUCUCUGCAUGGUUUACAUAUAUGAAGACACGCUUGUUGUUUGCGGUUGGGGAGACGCUGGUGAUGGUGUUGACGAACUGAUGACAUACAAGGUUUUCCCACUGAGUACAAUUAUCGAUGCAACUAUGUGUUCGGAAGAGUAUGGUGUGCAGGUUUCGGCGGUCGUUGAUGGAUUCGUAUUCCUGUCUGUUAAGAAUGAUAUGUAUACCGAGGGCAUCCUAUCCUUGUGGGACGCGGAUUUAUCCUAA
rnacentral:rRNA from 1 species